rnacentral:rRNA from 1 species
CACGUAGGCGGUGAUUUAAGUCAGAGGUGAAAGCCCGGGGCUCAACCCCGGAAUAGCCUUUGAGACUGGAUCGCUAGAAUCUUGGAGAGGCGAGUGGAAUUCCGAGUGUAGAGGUGAAAUUCGUAGAUAUUCGGAAGAACACCAGUGGCGAAGGCGGCUCGCUGGACAAGUAUUGACGCUGAAGCACGAAAGCGUGGGGAGCAAACA